rfam:Picea glauca, whole genome shotgun sequence.
UACUUGAUUGAUAUUUCUAGUAGCCAUAUGGUUGUCUCAAAGAUUAAUCCAUGCAUGUCUAAGUAUGAACUAAUUUAGAAUGUGAAAAUGUGGAUGGAUCAUUAAAUCAAUUAUAGUUUCUUUGAUGGUACCUUAUUGUACUUGAAUAACCAUACUAAUUCUAGAUCUAACACAUGCACCAAGUCUCGACUCUUUGGAAGGGAUACAUUUAUUAGAUAAAAAUACAACAUGGGAUUUCCCACUUCUUUGGUGAAUCACAAUAACUUGAUGGUUCACAUGACCCCUAUGUUGGCAAUGCUUCAUUCAAUUUUCUUCCCUAUCAAAUUUCGAUGGUAGGAUAGAGUCCUACCAUGGUGGCGAUGGGUGAUGGAGAUUUAUGGUUUGAUUUAGAGAGAGAUCCUAAGAAAUGACUACCACAUCCAAGGAAUCAAUAGCUCUAGAAAUUACCCAAUCCU